UACGGAGGAUGCAAGCGUUAUCCGGAUUUAUUGGGCGUAAAGCGUCCGCAGGUGGUUGGUCAAGUCGGCUGUCAAAGCGCGAGGCUUAACUUCGUUUGGGCAGUGGAAACUGAUCAGCUAGAGGGUGGUAGGGGCAGAGGGAAUUCCUAGUGUAGCGGUGAAAUGCGUAGAGAUUAGGAAGAACACCGGUGGCGAAAGCGCUCUGCUGGGCCGCAACUGACACUGAGGGACGAAAGCUAGGGGAGCGAAAGGG
rnacentral:rRNA from 1 species